rnacentral:rRNA from 1 species
AUGCCUAGGCCCAACCAGCCGCCGGCUCCAAGGCCAUCUCCCGCAGCCCACUGCUCUAACCCUAGCCGUUCGCUCCCUUCCCCCCGAUCCACCUCGCGCCGCCAGAAACAGGGAACCGCGCUCAGUCCUCCUCUGCCCGAUUCCAUCUCCCCGAUCCCCUCGUUCUCUCCCUCGAUCCCUUUCCUCGUUUCCCCUCGCUGCGCCACUAGGAGAGCCCCGUGCCCGAUCCCUUUCCUCCUCCCUUCGACCCUCUCCCUCUCGUCUCCUAGCUCGCACCAUGCACCUCCUCCAUGGCCUUCCUCCACCCCCUGGCCUGCUACCCACCUCCUCGACCCGCCACCAGGGAGGAGUCCCGCUCGGUCCCCUCGUCCUCCACUUCUGUGCCGAGCCACCUCCAUGGCCGCCGAGCCACCACCUUACGCCGCUUGUUCGUCGCCCCACUGCUGUGUCCUGCUUCUCCCGACGCCGCUCCGCGCCAAUUCUCAACCGGAGCACCGCACUUCUGCCGUUGCCGCAGCAAGCUCCCUGCUCCUGCCGCCGGAGCCCUGCACCAGGCUCGACCCCGAGCAGCAUCGCUCCGCUUCUCCACUGGAGCUCUUCUCCCGUGCACCGUCGCUGUCCAAUUCCAGCAAGCCACCGCACCACUGCCUCGUUGCAGCUGCUCCUUCGUUGUUCCGUUCCGCUGCCUCCCGCGUCCGGUCGCCGCUGGUGCCCACGACCAGCGAUGUGCCUUUGCUCGUGGAUGCCGCUGCCAAUGUGCGCACCCUGCCGCUACUCCAUCGGCCGCCUCCCUUCGUUGACCACCAAGAACCGAGGCCUAUUUUGUUGCUUCGUUUGGAUGCGUCAAGUUCCUCUACUAGCCGUGCACGCCUCUGGAUUCGUCCAAGUUCCGACGAUGUUUUUGUACAACUAUGCCGCGGAGACCAAGACCGGCAAGUCCACCCGGGAGCCCGAAUGACUACUUCCACGAUGAUGCGAGUAAAAGUACCUUCGACGUGUUUUUUUCCGCCAAGUACCGCGACACCUAGAUCCCUCGGAUCAGUCAAGUUCAUCUACGAAAACAUGUAUGACCGUCGUCGAGACCGCAAAGUACCUCUACGCACGGAUAUCGCCAAGUACCAUGAUACCGACGACAUCCACUACUACUGUCACCGAGGGUUUCGUCAAGUUCAACUUAUUUGGCUAUGA